GCCAAUUUGAAAUGUUUCUAUAUAGAGCCACCACAGUCAUAUAAAAUCUGAAAAAUUAUCUCAGGCAAUUAUUAGUGGUUUUAUCUCAAGCAACUGAUCAAGUUAGAAAAAGCUGAACAAGGAAGAAGAGUUGGCACUUGCUUACUGGUAAGAUCAUAAAAACAUCCUUCUGUGUUUGAUUGUGUCUAACUCUCAUCCCCAAAACAUUUUUCCUUGAUUUCAUUCAGUUCUGUUUCCUUCCUAAGUAGCUCUAUUUUCUCCAAGACAGAUAGUAAUCCCAGUCAGAGGAAAAUAUGUAAUAAUGGAAGAGAAUACGCAUGUAGCAGAUAAUACCAUCUACUGAGCACAAACAAAAAUGAAAGAUUUUUCUAUUACCUGUGUAUUGAAUGCAUAUUAUGGGUGUAGAAAGAAAGGAUGGUCUCACAAUAGGCAUGCUAAUAAACAAGUGGUUAGAGUUUAGGGAGGCAUCAAGCUAGCCCUCCCUGAAGGAUCCACCAUCUCCAUGGAGACAAGGGCAAAGGGACUGUUACCUCAGCCCCCUUAUAUGGUUAGAGAGAGGUAUGACUGACAGGUAGAAAGGGUAUAAAUAGAGGAAGUCACAGAAAUAGCAGACAGCCUUUCAGGAGAAAGGAGUCUUUCCCAUAAUGCCCUGUACCUAUUGGAUGGCCAUCAACUGGAGGAGAGCAAAGGCUCGUUUUCGCAUGAUGCCUUACUGGAUACAGGGCAUCAGCAGUGAUUGCAGACAAGCAAAGACAGUUGUUGGAGAUGGGAAGAAAGCUACUACCCCAGAAACACAAAGGGUGCCUAAAAGCCAUGCCAGCACCCAGGAAUGUUGUGGUAGUGGGAAGGGAAGCAGCUUUCAUGCUGAUGCAGAAGAGUUCCUGAGGGGAAAAGAAAAUAGACAUUCUAUAAGUUCACUCCGGUGUUGGAGGCAGGCGGGACCACAUCUCAGCCCUCUCCAGCCUCCUGUAAAGGGCAAGUUGCAAAAUGGGAAAAGAUGGAACAUUGAAAGAAGAGAUGAUUGACAGCAAAGACUGUUGGGAGAAGAGAAUGCUGGGAGAGAAGAAGGGACAUGGCAAAGCUCCCUGAAGAACUCUAGGAGCUUUUGAGUGGAGACCUGGAACAGGCAGGAAGCAUUUGUCUUGCUGGGGAUCUUGCCAAGAUCCAAUAAAGGAUUCAUCUGUGUAUAGUCCUAAGAUUAU
ensembl:lncRNA